rnacentral:tRNA from 1 species
GAGGGUAGAGUCAGCGGUAAAAAGCACGUGCUUAGCAUGCACGAGGUCCUGGGUUCAAUCCCCAGCGCCUUCA